CUCUAUUCCAUACAGGCACUGAGUUUCAAAAAAAGUUUGUAGGACUGCCCUUGCUGACUUCUCACAUCUCUCCUUCUGUAUGGCAUUGCACUCACUUGAAAUCUGUAAACGGUGACUGGGAAGGAGAAGGGAGAUAAAAGCCAUCAAAAAUAAAUGGGCAGGAAUAUGGUCAAUGACACUAGGUCAUUAAAAGGUAACAAUCACCAAGGAGUACCCUGUAAAAACCUGCCUUGUCAGUCAUCAGUUGAAAACCUUUUCAAAUUCCUGUCACAGAAGUAAUCGUGGUGCUGCAGCAGCUGUUAUGGUCUAAGGACAUAGUUGAAGAAAGGUAAAAUAGAAAUACAAGUCAAAUGAAAAGAAGAUGAUAUCUAUGGAGAUUCUCACUGAUCUUAACCUCCUACUUGACAGAGGUAAAAAGGAGCAGCUCCAACACCGACAACAUCUUCCAGCCUCUGGUUCAUGCUGUCUUUCAUGUCAGCUAGGACUAGCUCUUUAAACACAGCAGAUAGGCACUGUCCAGUCAAACAGUAGUACCUGAGCAUACCACUGGCUACAUCUCCCUAUCUUCUAGUAAGAGAAUGUUUUCUUACUAAUAUCAGAUUUCCACACUUUUAUAUAUCUUUUUCUUGAGCUUUGUUGGUAACUUGCAAAGAAAUUUUGGUACAUAUAGAACAGUGAGCAUCCACCACAAGGGAUCGCUCAAAAAUUACAAGCAAUAUUUAAGUGGAAAAUGUGCCUAUUAAGGUUACUGUGUGCACGGAUAUUUUGGCAAUUCAUUUGGAUAAAUAAACAAAUAAAUAAAUAAAUAUGAAAUAGCAAAAAGAGUGUUCAGUGUGAGUGAAGGCUGGUGGUACAAAUUCUAGACACUAUGAAAGAAGAAACAGACUUCUUUGUAGCUCCCUUUCAUUCUGUCCCUUCAAGAGAUUUGCUGCUUUGUCUUUUAUGGUUAUGUCAACAGUCUGUUGCUUGUUUCAAUAAUCUGUUUAUUUUUGUGACCUAUAGGCUCAUAGAAUACUGAAGGCUCUUUAGACACUGGUGAAGAACUGCAAGCUAGGGACGUGCAAGAGCUUCCCCAUGUGCCAGGGUGAGGGACAGCCCUGGGGGCAGAGUUGGCACAGUUGUUAGACCUUAUGGAACUGGCUUUUGCAAGCAGGACAAUGAAUGUGGAACUAACUAUUUUCAGAACAAAACACAAAACUCAUGUUCAGUUUGGCUUUUCAUAUGUUCAAAGUUAAACAACAUAACUAAUCCCUCACGCAAAGAGACACCACAAAUUUCACAGUUAGAAACAUACUCACAGACCUUCACAGACCUAAUCAAACUAUUUUUCAAAAAGUUGGGAAGGUGACAAGGAACUGGCACAUACUGAGGCAAUGGGGAUAUGCAGAUCGUGACAAUUGCAUGAUAGACAGAGCAGAUCCAAGCCAAGCUUAAGAAGAAACCCCAUGGGCAUACUACAUAAGGGACUACACAGGACACAUCUCCAUGUUUCAUGGUGAAGAAGUAGGUUCAGUUGCUUUUUGUGUGGUCCUGGCACACUCUUUUUCCCUUGCUUUUCCAUACCAGUUCUCCUUGCUGUUUGUAGCAUUUACAAUACGGAUGAAGUGGUUCAUUUGUCUUGGAUCCAUUGGCUUUUGUUUUCUGGUUUUUAUUUUUGUUUCAUUUAGUUUUGUUACUUUGGAGGGUGGGGAGUAGGGUGGGGAGGGAGAAAUAGAUAAAGAGAUAGAGAGUGCAGCAAGCCCCCAAAACUUGCCUAAGCUUUCACAGCCAUUUUUGGUCCAUGAUGAGAGCUGCCUGCCCAUGGAUAAUGUGUUUGCUCAAACACAUCAGAUUCAUCACCCCCACAGCACUGCAAGUGGCCAGUGCUGGAGGAUACUUCAGCAAAAAGAAAAUCCCACUGAAAGGAUAUUUUUACCCCCACCUCACAUCCACUAGCACCUUUGUUUCUGUUUCUGCUGAUGAUGUGAAGAUGAAAAGCAGAUAAAAAGCAAGCAAAAGAAAAGAAAAGAAAAAAAAAAAAAAAAGUAAUUUCAAGCAGUAAUCAUUGGAAGCACGGUUCUCCUUGAAAAGUCAGCCAUACCUGCUCAGUAAGCACUCUGAAUAGAGUUACAGACUUUUUCCAUUUUGUAGGAUCAGAUGAACCUGUGCCAGUGUUUCAGGGAGAGCUUCUGAAGCACUUUGGGCCAGGUUGUCAACAAGUGCAAAGAGUAUAACUUUUUUUGCCAGUGUGAAGGGUACUUGCAGCAUGAUCAGAAACAGGAUCUUCACAGUAAAGGCUUUUCACUUCAUUAAGAAUAGCAGAGAGAAAUAAGGGGCUGCUCUGUAUUAAGCAGCAAUGGCUGGAAAGUGCAACAUUCUAAGUAUGUAAUCUGUCGAUGUGAAAUUUCACAAUGGGCACAGAUCUAAUUUAGAAGUGAUCAUCCAGUGAAAUGAAACAAAAUCAAUUUUGCAUUUACCAGCUGCACACUAAAAUUGACUGUUACUGGGAAAGUUGACUUUAACAAAGUUAGCCAUCAACAGAUUCUUGUAUCUAAGAGCAAGAUGUGCUGAUACUGAUGUGCCUUUGUUAUAUUUUUUCCCCUGAAACUUCAAGUAGCAUAAUAACCCUGAGUUUUGAAUAAAUAUUAAGACAGAAAAAGAGUGGAUGACUUAUUUUUAAAGGAAAUACUAUUUUAUAGUUGUGUGAUUUGUAAUUGAAUUACAUUGUUUUCUCUUAAAAAUACAUGCAACGGUAAUUAAGUGUGAAAUUUUGGCAACCUAUAUUAAAGCUUAAAUAUAUUGUGCCUUAAUAACCUACUUCGCACAAAGAAAAAAAGAGGAGAUCCAGACAGUGCAUAAUUACUAACAAUAUUUUAAAGAAGAUUAUAAACACAAAGCAAAACAAACAAUAAAAUGGACUUGGAUACAGUUUACUGAAGUGAUAAUCCAGUCUGGGGACAGAUUCAGCCUCCCCAGCAAAUACAGAAAGACUGCUUUAUUCAUUUUAGUUUAUUCAGCACAGAACAUGUCAAUGAAGUGUUCCCUCAAAGCUGAAAAAUGGAAGUUAAAAGGAAACAAUGCUUACUGUGAAACAAGGUGUGGGAGUCAGGAAUCUAUUAAUUCUACCAUCUGAAAAAAUGUAGACCCUAUACCAACAAAUAUCCAAAUCAACUAAAGACUUGUAUCUUUUAGCAAGAAGUCAGAAACCUAAAGAGGACUUACAAGCUUAAGUAUUUAAUUAAAUUAGAUUUAUGUUUCCUUUAUUUGCAAUAUUUUCCUGCUUUAAAUGCAGAAAUAAAAGAGCAUUCAAAAUGAAAAUGCAAUUUGCAAAGACAUUUGAAUGACUCAGAUAACAGAGCAUUACAAACUUCAUGCAGAAAAUCUUCAGAGCUAUCCCAAGAAAGGAAGGGCUAAAGUUCUGAAAUCCUGAACAUAUGCGUUCUUAGUGAAAACUAAUACACUAAAUACACUGAGAUAGCAUGUAGAAGGGCAGGCAUUCUAGAGAAAAAUCAAAGAGGAGGUGAAAGGCCAGUAGCACUAUUCAACAGGUGUACCUGAGAUGAUACUGGAAGCUACGUCCUGUGGCAAAGCCUUGGCUGCAUAGCUAGGCAGAGACCUACCUAAAUGUUUGGUUAUCAUUAAAGAGACAGUAUUUCUUCUCUUUCUUCAAGAGAAUGAGUUUCUCUUUGCCCUCUCCCUAAAUCAAGCUUCAUCUUACA